rnacentral:rRNA from 1 species
GACGAACGCUGGCGGCGUGCUUAACACAUGCAAGUCGAACGAAGUGGCGAACGGGUGAGUAACGCGUAAUCAACCUGCCCUUCAGAGGGGGACAACAGUUGGAAACGACUGCUAAUACCGCAUACUGAAGGAGGGGAUUGCGUCUGAUUAGCGAGUUGGCUGGGUAACGGCCCACCAAGGCGAUGAUCAGUAGCCGUGCUUAGAGGAUGAACGGCCACAUGGGGAUUGUGACACGGCCCAGACUCCUAGGGGAGGUAGCAGUGGGGAACAUUCCGCAAUGGACGAAAGGCUGACGGAGCAACGCCGCGGGAGGGAAGCAGGUUUUCGGAUCGUAAAACUCUGUUGUUAGAGAAGCGGUAUCUAACCAGAAAGCCACGGCUAACUACGUGCCAGCAGCCGCGGUAAUUC